rnacentral:lncRNA from 1 species
UAAUCUUCUGUCUUAAGAGCACCCAGGAUGUGUUUUCAUUGGUACGGAAUUAGCUAGCCCUGGGAAAGACAGUCCCUCCAGAGUUAGCAACACCCCAAGAUGUCAAAGAUAAAAAUGCAAAAAUUAAAACUCCAUGAUUAACACAACUUUGAAGUCCUUCUCACUUGUCUUUAGAUGAAGGGCAACAUCAUUGCAACAAGUCACACUUUGAGAACUCAAGAGAAUAUGUUUGUUCUGAAAAUCCAGGAAUUAUUGCCAACCCAUGGUUGUCUCCAUAUGUCUUGGGAAAAAUAGGAAAAGGAUUUUUUGAGUUGGUGAUUUGAAUCCAAGACACAAAGAUUCAGGCUCUGGUAAAAAGAUUGUAUAGGCUAUAUUGGCUGACAUAAAAGGUAAGAGCAAGAAUGCAGAGGAUUUCUAUCAACAUAAAGAAGAGUCAAAGGUGGAGAAUAAGAGAAGUUAAGUGGUUUUCCUAAGAUCACAUAAUUAAGACUUAUUAAUAAAAAGUUUGAUGCUCUUUCUAUUAUAACGACAUAAAAGGCACACAAUGAAAUCUUAAUAAAUGUAUUGGAUGUUGCAGCAUUAACUGAUGAGCCAGACAAUGUAAAGACCUCAGACUACCAAAUGUUUUGAAAGACGAAUAGUGAAUGUGAAACUGUGAACCAAAAUAGAUUUUUAGAAUCCUUGAAAAAAUAGAGCUAGAGAAAGUCUUUGAGACCAUUGAUUGCAAAUAUUUGAGUUUACAACUGAGCAAAUGGAGAAAAGAGAAGUGACUCGUCAGUCCAACAAGUGGCAGAAUCAGAACCAGACCCCAAUGCUUGGGUCUUCUGUCCCUCCUGGCACCAAAGUCACCUAUCAUAAGUAACUUGAGUUUCAGAGGGGAAGGAAAAGACUACAAUGUCCCAGCACUGUUCCAGACACUUUUUAGGGGACUCCAAGACACCUUGUGUAAUGCCUAUUUUAAGUAGCUGGAAGAUUCUAUAGCAUGGGAAAAGCCCACUGAAGGCAAAAGUAAACAUUACCUAUUGUGGUCCUGGAAAAGAAAAUCAUCUCUCAUUUAUCUCCUGGAGCUGUUUGACGAACUUGGGCCCUGGUUUUACUUUGGGAGCCACCUUUCUCUUUCAGGUGCUGUCUCAGUGGAAUAGUCAACCAAUGUAUCCUACAUUUUGGACCAGCAGAAGGAAGUAAUGAGAACAGAAAACAAAUAAGAAGUGAGUUGGAGGGAGAAGGAGACUUUAGCAUCUUCCUGAAAUCAGGAAGAAAGUUUCAAGAAUAAAGUAAUCCAUAGGGUCAAAUACUGCAGUAAGUUUAAUUAGGAUGAAGACUGCAAAGAUGGUAUUAGUUUGGUACUUAGGACAUUGGUGACCUCCACAGGUGACUUUCAGGAGAAUUAUCUGGGGAACUUGUUGAUAGAAUUUGUGAAUCUCCACCUUUAGGGAUUCUGAUUUAGAAGGAGUAGGAAGAAGGCCUUAGGAUCUCCAUUUAUAACAACCACUACUGAUUAUUUUGAGGCAGGUAGCAUACAGACCACAUUUGAAAGAAACACUAGGUAAGUGUGAUUUUCAUUCAAAGGACAAAAAACAUAAAGUUACCUAAUUCAGGGACCAUUUCAAAGACCAAAUCAAAUCAGUAGCCUGGCUGAUCUGAUCGACUGCGCAGAAACUAGCCAUUACCAUGGCAAAGUGGGGAGGAACAGUCAAUAAAAAGCAAUUGAUGGCCAGGCGCGGUGGCUCACGCCUGUAAUCCCAGC